UACCAGCACCCCGAGUUGUCGGGACGAUUAUUGGGCCUAAAGCAUCCGUAGCCUGUUCUGCAAGUCCUCCGUUAAAUCCACCUGCUCAACGGAUGGGCUGCGGAGGAUACCGCAGAGCUAGGAGGCGGGAGAGGGCAAACGGUACUCAGUGGGUAGGGGUAAAAAUCCAUUGAUCUACUGAAGACCACCAGUGGCGAAGGCGGUUUUGCCAG
rnacentral:rRNA from 1 species